UCGAGAUCUGUUGCCAUGCUGGGCAGCGGCAUUCGCUUUGCUACACUUGCACUAAACCUCCUCUGGUUUGUGGCAUUUGGUGAAUGAGGGAGUUUGAUGUUGCUGCUAUCAUCUUUGUUUGUUGCCAUCUUGUUGGGUCAUCCAGAACUCUGGACAGGAGUAGAUCCUCUUCUGUUGUGCAUAUUCCUACAUCCACCCCAUGUUGGUAUCUCAGGCUUUGUGGGAGGAUAUUGAAGAGCUGUGGGUGCCUGAACCCCAAGGUGUUGCAGUAUCUGAUAUAUACACGCAGGGGCCCAGUUGCAUUUCGUUUCAAGAUGUUUAUUUGUUUGAGACUACUUUCACCUGAAAAUCUAUAAAUACAGGAAUCUAUAUGUAUACUUUGCCUGAAAAUCUGCGAAGUAUACAUGUAAUGCCUAUUUAUUUGCCAUGAAGUGAAAAGCUAUCUGAGAAGGAAAAAGUUAAACAUUUAUCAGUACAUGAAAGUCCGAUAAAGUAAACACGUAAACUUGAUCAACAAUUUUACCUUAAAAUUUCAGUUUCUGACAACAUUCAAUGACCAAAAAAACAAAAAUUGCUUAUUCAUCCUCUCAUUAUUCAUACAACUUUUCAACUGCUAACAGUUCCUUUCCCAUUCUCACAUUAAUAUACUACUUAACCACUCUUUUGAUAAUGAAUUCACCUAAGGAUAUACCUGAGGAAGAACCAGCUUAAAUGGAUAUAGUUAAAUCCUCCUACCCUCCUAAACAUAAUGACUCACACAAUGAAUAUCAUUAAAGAGGAGCUUUCUAUCGUACAUUUCUCCAGUAACAGAAUACCCAGUUUAUAAAGUCUUCAAUCGAUACAUUGAUCCAAUGGCUGGGAUAUCUCAGAAACAGCUGUCAGAGACUAUCUUUACUAUAUUUAGCAAUUUUGUAUUAUUUUACUGGUUUAAGAUUGAAUUAAAUAAAUUUAAAUGCCAUAGUUCGGCCUUAA
rnacentral:lncRNA from 1 species